GACGAACGCUGGCGGCGUGCUUAACACAUGCAAGUCGAACGGAAAGGCCCUGCUUUUGUGGGGUGCUCGAGUGGCGAACGGGUGAGUAACACGUGAGUAACCUGCCCUUGACUUUGGGAUAACUUCAGGAAACUGGGGCUAAUACCGGAUAGGAGCUCCUGCUGCAUGGUGGGGGUUGGAAAGUUUCGGCGUUUGGGGAUGGACUCGCGGCUUACCAGUUUGUUGGUGGGGUAGUGGCUUACCAAGGCUUUGACGGGUAGCCGGCCUGAGAGGGUGACCGGCCAAAUUGGGACUGAGAGAAGGCCCAGCCUGCUACGGGGGGCAGCGGUGGCGAACAUUGCCCAGUGGGCGGACGCCUGAUGCAGCAACGCCGCGUGCUGGAUGAAGGCCUUCGGGUUGUAAACCGCUUUCGCCUGUGACGACGCGUGAGUGACGGUAAUGGGAAAAGAAGCACCGGCUAACUACGUG
rnacentral:rRNA from 1 species